CGAGCGAAUGGAUUAAGAGCUUGCUCUUAUGAAGUUAGCGGCGGACGGGUGAGUAACACGUGGGUAACCUGCCCAUAAGACUGGGAUAACUCCGGGAAACCGGGGCUAAUACCGGAUAACAUUUUGCACCGCAUGGUGCGAAAUUCAAAGGCGGCUUCGGCUGUCACUUAUGGAUGGACCCGCGUCGCAUUAGCUAGUUGGUGAGGUAACGGCUCACCAAGGCAACGAUGCGUAGCCGACCUGAGAGGGUGAUCGGCCACACUGGGACUGAGACACGGCCCAGACUCCUACGGGAGGCAGCAGUAGGGAAUCUUCCGCAAUGGACGAAAGUCUGACGGAGCAACGCCGCGUGAGUGAUGAAGGCUUUCGGGUCGUAAAACUCUGUUGUUAGGGAAGAACAAGUGCUAGUUGAAUAAGCUGGCACCUUGACGGUACCUAACCAGAAAGCCACGGCUAACUACGUGCCAGCAGCCGCGGUAAUACGUAGGUGGCAAGCGUUAUCCGGAAUUAUUGGGCGUAAAGCGCGCGCAGGUGGUUUCUUAAGUCUGAUGUGAAAGCCCACGGCUCAACCGUGGAGGGUCAUUGGAAACUGGGAGACUUGAGUGCAGAAGAGGAAAGUGGAAUUCCAUGUGUAGCGGUGAAAUGCGUAGAGAUAUGGAGGAACACCAGUGGCGAAGGCGACUUUCUGGU
rnacentral:rRNA from 1 species